rnacentral:tRNA from 1 species
GCGGGGGUGACAGAGCCUGGCCAAAUGUGCAAGGUUGAGGGCCUUGUCCCUUAGUGGGUGCGCGUGUUCGAAUCACGUCCCCCGCA